UCUAACUGGAAUAGCGGGCACUUUGCCUGUC
rnacentral:sRNA from 1 species